rnacentral:tRNA from 1 species
GCCUGAGUGGCUCAGUGGUUGAGCAUCUGCCUUCAACUCAGAGCAUGAUCCCAGAAUCCGGGAUCAAGUCCCACGUCAGGCU